UCGUAGUGGGAGCGCAGCGUGAGCAGCGUGCGCGGUAACGCGUGCGCUGUGCGAUGUUGCGCGUGCAGUGUUGCGCGGUAACGUGUGCGCUGUGCUCAGUAACGCGCUCCCAUCUGUAAACCCUGUGAACAGCCUGUGUCUGGCGUCUAUCAGUAAUGAUUGGACUGCUACCAUACAUCUACCCUGUAUUUACUUCAGUUACCCUGUAUCAAAAUAAAUCCAUA
rnacentral:misc_RNA from 1 species